rnacentral:rRNA from 1 species
CCGGCACGGGUGAGUAACGCGUAUCCAACCUGCCUUACACUCUUGGACAGCCUUCUGAAAGGGAGAUUAAUACAAGAUGGCAUCAUGAGUUCACAUGUUCACAUGAUUAAAGGUAUUCCGGUAGACGAUGGGGAUGCGUUCCAUUAGAUAGUAGGCGGGGUAACGGCCCACCUAGUCUUCGAUGGAUAGGGGUUCUGAGAGGAAGGUCCCCCACAUUGGAACUGAGACACGGUCCAA